rnacentral:tRNA from 1 species
GGUGGUGGAGCUCAGGGGUAGAGCAUUUGCCUAGCAUAUGUGAAGCCCUGGGUUCAAUCCCAGCACCAUGA